rnacentral:lncRNA from 1 species
GACAAGUCGUUGUAUGGUGGGUGCAAUUUACUCACAAAAUUAACAUUGGCGGUAUUAGAUAAAAUGUUCCAAUAUAAUUCAUUAUGUAUGGUACUCCCUUCGUCCCGAAUUAAAUUAUACACUAUGUCUGAAUGCAUAGUAAAAAGGGAGCGACUAGUCUGUCAAUAGAAAAAAGAGGUCCAAAUCUGUCGAUUUCUGGAUCAUUGGAUUGAAAUUGAACGAACUAGAUUCACCCACCAACAUAUAAAAAAAAUCCAACCCUUCCUCUAAAGCGCUCGUGAGUCUCCCAACACCUGCCGCUACUACUCCCCUCCGCGUCUCCACGGUGACCUUGACUCCACCGAUGUGCUCCUCCGCCAUGGCUCUCCCUCCCCAAUCUCUAUCUCCCCACCACCUCUCCGCCUUCUUCUUCCCUAUUGCCGAGCUGGGAUCCGAGUCCCCAUGUCCGUCGCCAUCCGCCCUGCUCCGGCUGCGCCAUUGCUGUGGAGCUGCCACCAAACUGAACCACUUCAACCCCUAUGCCCCUACCACCAUCCCUUCCCAACCGCCAUCUACUACCACUGCGGCGGGCGGCGCCCCCGCCGCCUCACCGUCCCGCCUGCUGUCCACCAAAAGGUUUGCACACUCCUAAAUAUAGGACUGGACAACAAGACGUAUCUGACAUGAAGAUUAUGGUGCAGGACGGCUAGUCUGUGUGGAAAGAUAGUAACUAGUCGAGGACCAAGAAAAGUACUCGUAAUAAUCAGAGUAGAACUCGUUUAGUCGAAUCCGACUAGUUUUCUUGUAACCAACCGACCUGUAACCCUACCCCCGGCAAUAUAUGGUGAGAUAGGGACCCUCUCCAAAGUAAUUCAAUCCAACCAACACACAGGACGUAAGGUAUUACACUAUUCAGCGGCCUGAACCUAUGUAAAUCAUGUGUCUGCGUUUAUCUUCGAGUUUCUGAUCUUGGUGAUCCCCACUAACCAAAACACUACCUCGGGCACCCCCCCCCGGUAUGUUGCCGGGUUUAAACACCGACAGCUGGUGCACCAGGUAGGCGAAGUCACUGAAA